AUGUGGAGAGAGUUUUGUAGGAGUUGUAAAAUCUCUUUAAAAUAAAUAAGGCGAGACAUUAUUGCAAUUAGCAGGAAUUAAGAGACUUGUCCAAAUUACCCGCUAUUUAGUGCCUUUGGCACAAAUAUUCCUGUUACCAAACAAGUAUAAUUUAUAGAUUUAUUUAUUUAUUUAUUUAUUUUGCCGAGAAACCCUGCAAAACCCUCCAAACACAAAAACCCUAGAGGUUCAGUCUGCCUUCGUGCUGAGAUUCAAAUGGCGAAGAACAAGCCCAAUCACAGUUCCACGGACGCUAAAAAGAAUAAAAAGAAGAAGAAGAUGAAGAAUUCGGCUCCAAAUUCCGUAGCUAUGAAGCUCAAAGCCCCCCAAUCGAACCCUUUCGAGACCAUUUGGUCUCGGACCAAGUUCGACAUACUUGGCAAGAAGCGUAAAGGCGAACAAAAGCGUAUCGGCUUGGCUCGAUCUCGCGCCAUCCAAAAGAGGAACGCCACACUGUUGAAGGAGUAUGAACAAAGCGCCAAGUCUUCGGUUUUUCUUGAUAAGAGAAUUGGGGAGCAAAACGAUGCGCUUGGGGAGUUCGAUAAGGCGAUUUUGCGGUCACAGCGUGAGCGUCAGUUGAAACUGAAGAAGAAAAGCAAAUAUAAUUUAUCUGAUGGAGAAGAAGAUGAAUUUGAAAUUGAAGGAGUUCCUUCAUUUUCAGAAAGGGAUGAUUUUGAAGAUGAAAUGGUGCCCGACGAUGAUGAUGAUGAUGGUGCAGAAGGAGCUGGAACUGAGAAAAAGCCAACGUUGUUGAAACAGGUUAACGCCCAUGAUAUGCAGAAUCAGUCACAAAGGGGUCUGAUGGAGGGAGAGGAAAAUAAACACAAAAGCAAAAAGGAAGUGAUGGAGGAGAUUAUUUCAAAGAGCAAGUUUUACAAGGCCCAAAAAGCAAAAGAUAGGGAAGAAAAUGAACAUUUGGUGGAAGAAUUGGAUAAGAACUUCACAUCCUUAGUUCAGUCUGAGGCAUUAUUAUCUUUGACUCGACCAGACAAAGUGAAUGCUUUAAAGGCUCUUGUAAACAAGAGCAUUCCAAAUGAAUAUAUGAAGAAAGAUGAUGUAUCCGCUAUGCAGCACAUAAAAUCUUUUAAGCAGGAACAACCUGAUUCCUACGACAAAAUUAUAGGUGAGAUGACAUUGGAUAUGCGUGCUCGUCCAUCAGACAGGACAAAAACGCCUGAAGAGAUUGCCCAAGAGGAGAGAGAACGACUAGAGCGACUGGAGGAAGAGCGUCAGAAGAGAAUGCUUGCUCCUAAUGAUUCCAGUGAUGAAGAAGGUGAUUCACGUGAAGAUGCUGUUGAAGCAUCUAACCAGAGGCUAAGAUCUAUUUCUGGGGAUGAUCUUGGUGAUUCCUUCUCUCUUGAUGUGCUGCCAGAGUCUAAGAAGGGCUGGGUUUAUGAGGUUCUUGACAGAAAGGAUACAAAUGAGCUUGAAACGGAAGAUUAUGGAUCUUCCGAGGAAUCAGAAAGUCCUGAGAAUGAGAGUGAUGAUGAAGGUUUUGAAAAAGAUAAUGAUAAUUGCGAAAUGACUUCUUCCUUGAAGGACUGGGAACAGAGUGAUGACGACAAACUUAGUACAGAUUUGGAAGGUGAGGAAGAUGAAGAAGGUGAACAAGAAGGAGAAGAAGAUGAUGAGGAGGAAGAGAAGGUUCUGAAAAUCCAUCAAAAGGCAAAAGAUAGUGGUAAUGCAGAAAUCAAUAGAAACAAUAUUGAUUCAUUAGAUGCCAAGAAAAUAAAAACAAAUGUUAAACAUCCUUCGUCUCAACAAGAUUCCAUUCCUUACGUGAUUAAAGCUCCAACCAGUUUGGAAGAAUUGUUCAUGUUGUUGGAGAAUUGUUCUGAUUCUGACAUUGUUGAGAUAAUUCAUCGAAUUCGUAUAAACAAUGCAAUCAGUCUUGCAGUAGAGAAUCGGAAGAAAAUGCAAGUAUUUUAUGGUGUAUUAUUGCAAUAUUUUGCUGUCUUGGCAAAUAAAAAGCCAUUAAAUUUCAAGCUAUUGAAUUUGCUGGUCAAGCCAUUAAUGGAGAUAAGUGUGGAGAUCCCAUACUUUGCAGCAAUAUGUGCUCGUCAACGGAUAUUACGGACUAGAAUGCAAUUCUGUGAGGCAAUUAAAAUCCCAGAGAAGAGUAGUUGGCCUUCUUUGAAAACAUUAUUUCUCCUGAGACUCUGGUCGAUGAUAUUUCCAUGCUCUGACUUUCGUCAUGUUGUCAUGACCCCAGCUACACUGUUGAUGUGUGAAUAUCUGAUGCGUUGUCCUAUUUUAUCUGGUUAUGAUAUUGCCAUUGGUUGUUUCUUGUGCUCCAUGGUUCUCUCGGUUGUUAAACAAUCUCGGAAGUUCUGUCCUGAAGCCAUAAUGUUUCUCCAAACUUUGUUAAUGGUUGCUUUGGAUGGAAACUCAAAAUUAUCUCAGGAUUCUCAGUUUUAUUUUUUCAUGGAACUUAAAACGCUCAAGCCCCUGUUGGCAAUACGAGGACAUGUAGAUGAUCUUAGUCCUCUGGAUUUCCUCACACUCAUGGCCAUGCCAGAGGGCUCUUCGUUUUUCAGCUCAGAUAAUUUCAGGGCUUGUGUGCUGGUAUCCAUCAUUGAAACUCUACAAGGAUUUGUUGAUAUUUAUGGAGGAUACAAUUCAUUUCCUGAAAUUUUCUUGCCAAUAUCAACAUUGUUACUUGCAUUGGCAGAACAGGAAAACAUGCCCAAUGCAUUGAAGGAGAAAAUUAGAGGUGUUGAAGUGCUUAUUAAGGAGAAAACUCAUGAACACCAUAUGCUGCGUCAACCACUUCAAAUGCGGAAACAAAAGCCAGUGCCUAUCAAAUUAUUCAAUCCAAAAUUUGAGGAGAACUUUGUUAAGGGUAGAGACUAUGAUCCAGAUCGUGAACGGGCUGAGCAGAGAAAAUUGAAGAAACUUAUAAAACAGGAGGCUAAGGGGGCAGCUCGUGAACUACGUAAAGAUAAUUAUUUCUUAUUUGAGGUAAAGAAAAGGGAUAAGGCAAUGCAGGAAGAAGAAAGAGCAGAGAAGUAUGGGAAGGCAAGGGCAUUUCUCCAAGAACAAGAACAUGCUUUCAAAUCUGGACAAUUGGGAAAAGGCAGGAAGAGAAGGAGAUGAAACUGGCUUUUUAAUGUUUGUGAUACUUUGCUUCUGCAGUCUUCAAGGUUAAGGUCUUUUCGUCAAUUGCUCCUGGCAUUGCUUCCAUGUCAUGGAACAGUGGUGAAGAAUCGUCAAGCCAUUCAUACAUGGUGCAAUUUUUGCUGCUGUUAUCUGAAGAUUCCCUAAAGAGCUUCCAUUUUUGGCUUUUGGCUGGCUAUCAUAAUUGCUUUCAUUUCCUCCCUGCCCAAGGAUUAUCCAUCAUCAAAAGGUUUGAGGGAAGCCUUGUUCGGUUUAUUUUAGGGAAGAACUUAAGAGCUAGUCCGACAUAUCCUGUCUCACAAUGGGUUACUUUUUUUCCAUCAUGUUUAUUAUCUUAAAUUUGUGGAUUAGCUUUUGGAUCCAUCUUGCUAGAGAUUGAUCAGUCUUGAGAUUUUAAGAUUCCCCAAAGAACUGGAGACAACAGGCACUUGGUGACCUGCAAUAUCUUCAUACAUCAAGUGGUUCAAAUCGUAGGUGUAACUUGUAACCCACUAUUUUCCCACGCUUAGGUUGAAUGUUCACAGCAGUUGGUAUUA